AAUUUAUUUUUUUACCAUUCCAAAUCACUAGGAAGUUCAUCAGGAUAGUCUCCUGUCAAACAGGCAGUACAAUGACCAAUAUAACUACUUUCACGGUUAUCCAUACCAAAUCUUACGGCUUUUACAAGUCCGUCCACUGAAAGUUCCAGAUUCGGGUACUGAACUAACUAUAUCUGCUUCUACCGGAGAUUCUAAAGCAAGUUCUCGUCCACAUUGCAUGCGAACAGAAUAAACCAUUUGUCCUAUUAUGAGAAAUAAAACAAAUUACUUACUAUAAUUAUAUAUUCUAAAAUUUUUGUUAUGUUACGUUACUUUCAUUUUAUUAUAUUGUGAUAGAUUACCUUCAAAAAUACUGUCGCUACGUGCGAAAUAAACGUAUUCAAAGAUGCAAAA